CGGGUUGCCUCAGAGAAUAAUAUCGGUCUAUACGCUGAUUCGGUGAGUUUAUAAGGAAGUGCAUAGGAGAUGUUCUACCCACUGUGACUACUAAAACCUACCCUAACCAGAAACUGUGGAUAGAUUGCGGCUUUCGCACAAAACUGAAAGCGCGAACCACCACAUUUAACCAUGGAAAGGCAAUCAAACCACGAAAUGUCUUUAUAGAGACAAAGUGGAGUCGCAAUUCAACGGCUCAGACACGAGACGAAUGUGGCAGGGUUUACAUACAAUCACGGACUACAAAAAGAAAACCAGCCAAGUCACGGACACCGACGUCUUUCUUCAAGACAAACUAAACACCUUCUAUGCCCGCUUUGAGGAUAAUACAGUGCCACCGAUGCAGCCCGCUACCAAGGACUGAGGGUUCUCCUUCUCCGUGGCCGACGUGAGUACGACAUUUAAACUUGUUAACCCUCACAAGGCUGCCGGCCCAGAUGGCAUCCCUAGCCGCAUCCUCAGAGCAUGCGCAGACCAGCUGGCUGGUGUGUUUACGGACAUAUUCAAUUUCUCCCUAUCUCAGUCUACUGUCCCCACAUGCUUCAAGAUGGCUACCAUUGUUCCUGUACCCAAGAAGGCAAAGGUCCACAGAUGACGCAAUCACCAUCACAAGAAUGCUGUUCAUUGACUACAGCUCAGCAUUCAACACCAUAGUACCCUCCAAGCUCAUCAUUAAGCUUGAGGCCCUGGGCUCAACCCCGCCCUGUGCAAUUGGAUCCUGGACUUCCUGAUGGGCCACCCCGGGUGGUGAAGGUAGGAAGCAACAUCUCCACUUCGCUGAUCCUCAACACUGGGGCCACACAACAGUGUUUGCUCAGCCCACUCCUGUAUUCCCUGUUCACCCAUGAGGCUUGAUUACCAACAAUGAUGAGACAGCCAAUACGGAGGAUGUGAGGGUAUUUGGAGUGUGGUGUCAGGAAAACAACCUGUCACUCAAUAACAAAACAAAGGAGAUGAUCGUGGACUUCAGGAAACAGCAGAGGGAGCACCCCCCUAUCCACAUCGACGGGACAGCAGAGGAGAAGACCAGAGUCGAGCAUCUCCAAAUUCACUCACAGGCUGUCCCUGAAAGAGCGGCAGGCCGAACCUGAGAACACUACGCUGGACAGACCUCCAUCCUACAGGAGGCGCUCUCUCAGUCUGGACUGAUCCUCUCAAGUUCUUUCAGGGUGGAUGGGGAGCGUCGCUGCACAGUUAUUUUCAGGUCUCUCAAGAGAUGUUCAACUGGGUUCAAGUCCCGGCUCUUGCUGGGCCACUCACAGACAAUGAGAGUUGUCCCGAAGCCACUUCUGCGUUGUCUUGGCUGUGUUCUUAGGGUCGUUGUCCUGUUGGAAGGUGUACCUUCGCCCCAGUCUGAGCAAUUCUGAGCAAAUUGAUCAAGGGCCACGGUUGAUUCGUCUUUGAAGAUGACGUUAUUGAAUGUCUCGCCAGCUUUGAUCCAUGCCUGGGCCUGCAGGACGCAAAGUUCUUUGUUUGUCAGACGAAUCAUUGGAAUCAUUGACUCACUCACGCAUUGAAAAGGGCGAGGAUCGAGAUGGAGUCACAAUCCAUGCCAGGCACACCUGUGAGCUCUGGAACUCCACCUCCGAC
rnacentral:lncRNA from 1 species